AGGUUCCGCGUCGACGCAUCUGCUGAUGAAGCUGCAUAGGGCAGAUUCUGAGCCGGGAGCUGCAGCUUCCCGGCACUGAUCUUCCAUUUAUGCAAACUGAGGAUGCGGCUCUUUUU